UACGUAGGGGGCAAGCGUUGUCCGGAUUUAUUGGGCGUAAAGAGCGUGUAGGCGGCCAGACAGGUCCGUUGUGAAAACUCGAGGCUCAACCUCGAGACGUCGACGGAAACCGUCUGGCUAGAGUCCGGAAGAGGAGUGUGGAAUUCCUGGUGUAGCGGUGAAUGCGCAGAUAUCAGGAAGAACACCUAUGGCGAAGGCAGCACUCUGGGACGGUACUGACGCUGAGACGCGAAAGCGUGGGAGCGAACAGG
rnacentral:rRNA from 1 species